rnacentral:rRNA from 1 species
GAUGAACGCUGGCGGAAUGCUUUACACAUGCAAGUCGAACGGCAGCACGGGGGCAACCCUGGUGGCGAGUGGCGAACGGGUGAGUAAUACAUCGGAACGUGCCCAGUCGUGGGGGAUAACGUAGCGAAAGCUACGCUAAUACCGCAUACGAUCUCUGGAUGAAAGCGGGGGACCGCAAGGCCUCGCGCGAUUGGAGCGGCCGAUGGCAGAUUAGGUAGUUGGUGGGGUAAAGGCUCACCAAGCCGACGAUCUGUAGCUGGUCUGAGAGGACGACCAGCCACACUGGGACUGAGACACGGCCCAGACUCCUACGGGAGGCAGCAGUGGGGAAUUUUGGACAAUGGGCGAAAGCCUGAUCCAGCCAUUCCGCGUGCAGGAUGAAGGCCU